rnacentral:rRNA from 2 species
GAUAAACGCUGGCGGUGUACAUAAGACAUGCAAGUCGAACGGGAGAAGACAGGAAGAUUUAUCUACUUGUUGGACACCGUGGCGGACGGGUGAGUAACACGUAAGCAACCUGCCUAUAAGAGGGGAAUAACAGUGAGAAAUUACUGAUAAUACCGCAUAAGCUGGAGGUAUCGCAUGAUACAUUCAGAAAAGAUUUAUCGCUUAUAGAUGGGCUUGCGUCUGAUUAGCUAGUUGGUGAGAUAACAGCUCACCAAGGCGACGAUCAGUAGCCGGAUUGAGAGGUUGAACGGCCACAUUGGGACUGAGACACGGCCCAGACUCCUACGGGAGGCAGCAGUCGGGAAUAUUGCACAAUGGAGGAAACUCUGAUGCAGUGACACCGCGUAUAGGAAGAAGGUCUUAGGAUUGUAAGCUAUUGUCGUGUGAGAAGAAAAUGACCAUCACAGGAGGAAGCCCUGGCUAAAUAUGUGCCAGCAGCCGCGGUAAUACAUAUGGGGCGAGCGUUAUCCGGAUUUAUUGGGUGUAAAGGGUGCGUAGGCGGGAAAAUAAGUCAGUAUGUGAAAUCCCUCGGCUCAACUGAGGAACUGCAACUGAAACUAUUUUUCUUGAGUGUUGAAGGGGAAAGUGGAAUUCCUAGUGUAGCGGUGAAAUGCGUAGAGAUUAGGAGGAACACCAGUGGCGAAGGCGACUUUCUGGGCAACAACUGACGCUGAGGCACGAAAGUGUGGGGAGCAAACAGG